UCGCGGCCUAUCAGCUUGUUGGUGAGGUAAUGGCUCACCAAGGCGACGACGGGUAGCCGGCCUGAGAGGGUGACCGGCCACACUGGGACUGAGACACGGCCCAGACUCCUACGGGAGGCAGCAGUGGGGAAUAUUGCACAAUGGGCGCAAGCCUGAUGCAGCAACGCCGCGUGAGGGACGACGGCCUUCGGGUUGUAAACCUCUUUUAGCAGGGAAGAAGCGAAAGUGACGGUACCUGCAGAAAAAGCACCGGCUAACUACGUGCCAGCAGCCGCGGUAAUACGUAGGGUGCAAGCGUUGUCCGGAAUUAUUGGGCGUAAAGAGCUCGUAGGCGGUUUGUCGCGUCUGCUGUGAAAAUCCGAGGCUCAACCUCGGACCUGCAGUGGGUACGGGCAAACUAGAGUGCGGUAGGGGAGAUUGGAAUUCCUGGUGUAGCGGUGGAAUGCGCAGAUAUCAGGAGGAACACCAAUGGCGAAGGCAGAUCUCUGGGCCGUAACUGACGCUGAGGAGCGAAAGCGUGGGGAGCGAACAGGAUUAGAUACCCUGGUAGUCCACGCCGUAAACGGUGGGAACUAGAUGUGGGGUCCGUUCCACGGAUUCCGUGUCGCAGCUAACGCAUUAAGUUCCCCGCCUGGGGAGUACGG
rnacentral:rRNA from 1 species